GACGAACGCUGGCGGCGUGCCUAACACAUGCAAGUCGAGCGAGUGAAUCUCCUUCGGGAUUGAAGCUAGCGGCGGACGGGUGAGUAACACGUGGGCAACCUGCCUCAUAGAGGGGAAUAGCCUUCCGAAAGGAAGAUUAAUACCGCAUAAGAUUGUAGCUUCGCAUGAAGUAGCAAUUAAAGGAGCAAUCCGCUAUGAGAUGGGCCCGCGGCGCAUUAGCUAGUUGGUGAGGUAACGGCUCACCAAGGCGACGAUGCGUAGCCGACCUGAGAGGGUGAUCGGCCACAUUGGGACUGAGACACGGCCCAGACUCCUACGGGAGGCAGCAGUGGGGAAUAUUGCACAAUGGGGGAACCCUGAUGCGGCAACGCCGCGUGAGUGAUGACGGCCUUCGGGUUGUAAAGCUCUGUCUUCAGGGACGAUAAUGACGGUACCUGAGGAGGAAGCCACGGCUAACUACGUGCCAGCCGCCGCCGUAACAC
rnacentral:rRNA from 1 species